UUUCCGUAGGUGAACCUGCGGAAGGAUCAUUAUUGAAUAACCGAGGUGCGAGGGCUGUCGCUGACCCGUAACGUCGUGCCCCCCUGUGUGCCCUCACACACAUCCAUCUCACCCCUAUGUGCACCACCGCGUGGGUCCCCCUUUGGCUUGUUCGGAGGGGGGCUUACGUUUUCACACAAACUUUGUAUGCACUGUAGAAUGUAUUUUUUGUUUUUGCGAACAAGCAAUAAAUACAACUUUCAACAACGGAUCUCUUGGCUCUC
rnacentral:misc_RNA from 1 species